GGUAUUCUGGUACUUAGCAAACCGUAAUAGUACUUGCGAAGUGUCCGUUAAGGAUAACGGUGUGGCAAUGGUAUCUGG
rnacentral:tRNA from 1 species